CUAACUCUAAUUGGUAUCUGUAUUUCAUCUUUUUAGAGACAAAGGGCAACUCCAUAAAAAGCUCCUCCUAUUAUCUAAUGCUAUUGCUUAUUCUUAUCGUACCCUGCUGCUCUGAGAAUGGUCAAGCUACUGUUGGAGUCGUCUCUCUUCACAAAGACAGGAUGAGAAGCGGUGGUAUGCAGCCACUUGGAAUAAUCAUACUGUUUUACUGUGAGAAAAUGUCCAGACAGCAAUCUAAAAGGCUUACAUCUUGAGGUAUACCAUCCUCUGGACAGCAGCCAAUCUUAUCAGGCUCUGUUGUAACUGCCAGUAACUGAAGACCACCUGGAUGUCUGGUGGAAAUAAGGACAUCAAGAGCAGGAGAAGAAGCAGAACAAAGAGUGGUCCGCUGGCGCCUAUCUCCUAUGAGCAAGAAGCAGGGAACACCCUGGACAAGUCACCAGUCCAUCGCAGGGCAAAAGGACGAACAACUAUACACACACCCAUUCACACCUAAGGGCAAUUUAGAGAGACCAAUUAACCUAACAGUCAUGUUU